rnacentral:rRNA from 1 species
GACGAACGCUGGCGGCGUGCCUAAUACAUGCAAGUUGAGCGAUGAAGAUUGGUGCUUGCACCAAUUUGAAGAGCAGCGAACGGGUGAGUAACGCGUGGGGAAUCUGCCUUUGAGCGGGGGACAACAUUUGGAAACGAAUGCUAAUACCGCAUAACAACUUUAAACAUAAGUUUUAAGUUUGAAAGAUGCAAUUGCAUCACUCAAAGAUGAUCCCGCGUUGUAUUAGCUAGUUGGUGAGGUAAAGGCUCACCAAGGCGAUGAUACAUAGCCGACCUGAGAGGGUGAUCGGCCACAUUGGGACUGAGACACGGCCCAAACUCCUACGGGAGGCAGCAGUAGGGAAUCUUCGGCAAUGGACGAAAGUCUGACCGAGCAACGCCGGGUGAGUGAAGAAGGUUUUCGGAUCGUAAAACUCUGUUGGUAGAGAAGAACGUUGGUGAGAGUGGAAAGCUCAUCAAGUGACGGUAACUACCCAGAAAGGGACGGCUAACUACGUG